CAAGUCGAACGCUGAAGCUCCAGCUUGCUGGGGUGGAUGAGUGGCGAACGGGUGAGUAAUACGUGAGUAACCUGCCCUUGACUCUGGGAUAAGCCUGGGAAACCGGGUCUAAUACUGGAUACGACGUCCUACCGCAUGGUGGGGGGUGGAAAGGGUUUUAUUGGUUUUGGAUGGGCUCACGGCCUAUCAGCUUGUUGGUGGGGUAAUGGCCUACCAAGGCGACGACGGGUAGCCGGCCUGAGAGGGUGACCGGCCACACUGGGACUGAGACACGGCCCAGACUCCUACGGGAGGCAGCAGUGGGGAAUAUUGCACAAUGGGCGCAAGCCUGAUGCAGCGACGCCGCGUGAGGGAUGACGGCCUUCGGGUUGUAAACCUCUUUCAGCAGGGAAGAAGCCACAAGUGACGGUACCUGCAGAAGAAGCGCCGGCUAACUACGUGGAGUCAGCCGCGGUAAUACGUAGGGCGCAAGCGUUGUCCGGAAUUAUUGGGCGUAAAGAGCUCGUAGGCGGUUUGGCGUCUGCUGUGAAAGCCCGGGGCUCAACCCCGGGUCUGCAGUGGGUACGGGCAGACUAGAGUGCAGUAGGGGAGACUGGAAUUCCUGGUGUAGCGGUGAAAUGCGCAGAUAUCAGGAGGAACACCGAUGGCGAAGGCAGGUCUCUGGGCUGUUACUGACGCUGAGGAGCGAAAGCAUGGGGAGCGAACAGGAUUAGAUACCCUGGUAGUCCAUGCCGUAAACGUUGGGCACUAGGUGUGGGGGACAUUCCACGUUCUCCGCGCCGUAGCUAACGCAUUAAGUGCCCCGCCUGGGGAGUACGGCCGCAAGGCUAAAACUCAAAGGAAUUGACGGGGGCCCGCACAAGCGGCGGAGCAUGCGGAUUAAUUCGAUGCAACGCGAAGAACCUUACCAAGGCUUGACAUCCUCCGGACCGCACUGGAGACAGUGCUUCCCUUCGGGGCUGGUGGACAGGUGGUGCAUGGUUGUCGUCAGCUCGU
rnacentral:rRNA from 1 species